rnacentral:tRNA from 3 species
GGAGGGGUUCCCGAGUGGCCAAAGGGAUCAGACUGUAAAUCUGACGGCUAUGCCUUCGAAGGUUCGAAUCCUUCUCCCUCCACCA